rnacentral:lncRNA from 1 species
GUUCCCCAAGAGCGCAUCUAUUUCCACCACCGUUUGCGGCGUCAGCUGACUCAGCACCUUGAGAAUGGGCAAUAGAGAGGGCAGGUUUUGCUGGGUUACCGAGUUAAGGGCAUGAUGAAGGCCACAGUGGGACCCACUGAGAAAGUCUCAGCUGUUUGACAGCUUGGCACUGUCUCCCUGGACUUCCUUUGCAAAUGACAACUCUGCAAGAAGGAAAAGGCUACGUCAAGGAGCGGGGCUUACCUGGCGCUAUGGAGAACUGGGAUGGCACGAGUCCUUACCAGUAGGUGUGGAGCAGCAAACCCCUCACUCCUAUCCCAUAGACCACAGAUCCUUCGUAAGGCUUCGCCCCAAGUACUCACUGUCCACCCCAAAAAAUCUUGGUGGUGAUAACAUAGCUUGAUCUCCUGGAAGAAGCAAAACAAUAUUUCCAGCAGGAAAAUGAUAUUUGGUUGAUCAUGUCUCCAGCAGCCACCACCCCCCGAACAGUCUCACCUCCAGCCUUUGCUCUUGAGAAUAUUGCCAAGGGUUCUUUCAGCCCUGAAAUAAAGACAAUGCGAGGACA